UACAGAGGGUGCGAGCGUUGUUCGGAAUUAUUGGGCGUAAAGGGCGCGUAGGCGGCGCCACAAGUCACUUGUGAAAACUCUGGGCUCAACUCAGAGCCUGCAAGCGAAACUGUGGUGCUGGAGUAUGGGAGAGGUGCGUGGAAUUCCCGGUGUAGCGGUGAAAUGCGUAGAUAUCAGGAGGAACACCUGCGGUGUAGACGGCUUUCUGGACCAUUACUGACACUGAGACACGAAAGCGUGGGUAGCAAACAGG
rnacentral:rRNA from 1 species